AGAGCGAACGCUGGCGGCAGGCUUAACACAUGCAAGUCGAGCGGGCGUAGCAAUACGUCAGCGGCAGACGGGUGAGUAACGCGUGGGAACGUACCUUUUGGUUCGGAACAACCCAGGGAAACUUGGGCUAAUACCGGAUAAGCCCUUACGGGGAAAGAUUUAUCGCCGAAAGAUCGGCCCGCGUCUGAUUAGCUAGUUGGUGAGGUAAUGGCUCACCAAGGCGACGAUCAGUAGCUGGUCUGAGAGGAUGAUCAGCCACAUUGGGACUGAGACACGGCCCAAACUCCUACGGGAGGCAGCAGUGGGGAAUAUUGGACAAUGGGCGCAAGCCUGAUCCAGCCAUGCCGCGUGAGUGAUGAAGGCCCUAGGGUUGUAAAGCUCUUUGUGCGGAAGAUAAUGACGGUACCGCAAGAAUAAGCCCGGCUAACUUCGUGCCAGCAGCCGC
rnacentral:rRNA from 1 species